AGAGUUUGAUCAUGGCUCAGAUUGAACGCUGGCGGCAGGCCUAACACAUGCAAGUCGAACGGUAACAGAAAGCAGCUUGCUGCUUUGCUGACGAGUGGCGGACGGGUGAGUAAUGUCUGGGAAACAGCCUGAUGGAGGGGGAUAACUACUGGAAACGGUAGCUAAUACCGCAUAACGUCGCAAGACCAAAGAGGGGGACCUUCGGGCCUCUUGCCAUCGGAUGUGCCCAGAUGGGAUUAGCUUGUUGGUGGGGUAACGGCUCACCAAGGCGACGAUCCCUAGCUGGUCUGAGAGGAUGACCAGCCACACUGGAACUGAGACACGGUCCAGACUCCUACGGGAGGCAGCAGUGGGGAAUAUUGCACAAUGGGCGCAAGCCUGAUGCAGCCAUGCCGCGUGUAUGAAGAAGGCCUUCGGGUUGUAAAGUACUUUCAGCGGGGAGGAAGGGAGUAAAGUUAAUACCUUUGCUCAUUGACGUUACCCGCAGAAGAAGCACCGGCUAACUCCGUGCCAGCAGCCGCGGUAAUACGGAGGGUGCAAGCGUUAAUCGGAAUUACUGGGCGUAAAGCGCACGCAGGCGGUUUGUUAAGUCAGAUGUGAAAUCCCCGGGCUCAACCUGGGAACUGCAUCUGAUACUGGCAAGCUUGAGUCUCGUAGAGGGGGGUAGAAUUCCAGGUGUAGCGGUGAAAUGCGUAGAGAUCUGGAGGAAUACCGGUGGCGAAGGCGGCCCCCUGGACGAAGACUGACGCUCAGGUGCGAAAGCGUGGGGAGCAAACAGGAUUAGAUACCCUGGUAGUCCACGCCGUAAACGAUGUCGACUUGGAGGUUGUGCCCUUGAGGCGUGGCUUCCGGAGCUAACGCGUUAAGUCGACCGCCUGGGGAGUACGGCCGCAAGGUUAAAACUCAAAUGAAUUGACGGGGGCCCGCACAAGCGGUGGAGCAUGUGGUUUAAUUCGAUGCAACGCGAAGAACCUUACCUGGUCUUGACAUCCACGGAAGUUUUCAGAGAUGAGAAUGUGCCUUCGGGAACCGUGAGACAGGUGCUGCAUGGCUGUCGUCAGCUCGUGUUGUGAAAUGUUGGGUUAAGUCCCGCAACGAGCGCAACCCUUAUCCUUUGUUGCCAGCGGUCCGGCCGGGAACUCAAAGGAGACUGCCAGUGAUAAACUGGAGGAAGGUGGGGAUGACGUCAAGUCAUCAUGGCCCUUACGACCAGGGCUACACACGUGCUACAAUGGCGCAUACAAAGAGAAGCGACCUCGCGAGAGCAAGCGGACCUCAUAAAGUGCGUCGUAGUCCGGAUUGGAGUCUGCAACUCGACUCCAUGAAGUCGGAAUCGCUAGUAAUCGUGGAUCAGAAUGCCACGGUGAAUACGUUCCCGGGCCUUGUACACACCGCCCGUCACACCAUGGGAGUGGGUUGCAAAAGAAGUAGGUAGCUUAACCUUCGGGAGGGCGCUUACCACUUUGUGAUUCAUGACUGGGGUGAAGUCGUAACAAGGUAACCGUAGGGGAACCUGCGGUUGGAUCACCU
rnacentral:rRNA from 1 species